AGCAGCCGCGGUAAUUCCAGCUCCAAUAGCGUAUAUUAAAGUUGCUGCAGUUAAAAAGCUCGUAGUUGAAUUUCGGGACCAUCAUGUCGGUCGUGCCUCGGUACGUACUGGCAUUGUUGGUUUCUCCCUUCUGACGAACCAUGAUGUCAUUUAUUUGGUGUCGUGGGAAAUCAGGACUGUUACUUUGAAAAAAUUAGAGUGUUUAAAGCAGGCUCACGCUUGAAUACAUUAGCAUGGAAUAAUGAAAUAGGACGUUUGAUUCUAUUUUGUUGGUUUCUAGGAUCGACGUAAUGAUUAAUAGGGAUAGUUGGGGGCAUUAGUAUUCAAUUGUCAGAGGUGAAAUUCUUGGAUUUAUUGAAGACUAACUACUGCGAAAGCAUUUGCCAAGGAUGUUUUCAUUAAUCAAGAACGAAAGUUAGGGGAUCGAAGACGAUCAGAUACCGUCGUAGUCUUAACCAUAAACUAUGCCGACUAGGGAUCGGAUGAUGUUAAUUUUUAAUGACUCAUUCGGCGCCUUAAC
rnacentral:rRNA from 1 species